AGCGGCGGACGGGUGAGUAACGCGUGGGUAACCUGCCUCAUAUAGGGGGAUAACAGUUGGAAACGGCUGCUAAUACCGCAUAAGCGCACAGUACCGCAUGGUACGGUGUGAAAAACUCCGGUGGUAUGAGAUGGACCCGCGUCUGAUUAGGUAGUUGGUGGGGUAACGGCCUACCAAGCCGACGAUCAGUAGCCGACCUGAGAGGGUGACCGGCCACAUUGGGACUGAGACACGGCCCAA
rnacentral:rRNA from 1 species